rnacentral:lncRNA from 1 species
GUUGUUUAAUCUCCACAUGUUUGUAUUUUUCCAGUUUUCUUUUUGUAAUUGACUUCUAUUUUCAUACUGUUGUGGUCAGAAAAAAUGCUUGAUAUAAUUUCAUUCCUCUUGAAAUUGUUGAAUUUUUUUUUUUUUUUUGGCUUAGCAUGUGAUCUAUCCUGGAAAAUUUUCCAUAUGCACUUGAAAAGUAUGUGUAUUUGCAGUUUUCAGCUGGAAUGUCCAAAAGCAUCCAAACAUUGUUUAAGUCCAACUGGUCUAAUGUGUAAUUUAAGACUACUGUUUCCUUAUUGAUUUUCUGUCUGUAUGAUCUGCCCAUUGAUGUAAGUGGGGUGUUGAAGUCCCCUACUAUUGUAUUAUUGUCAAUUUCUCCCUUUAUGUCUGUUAAUAUUUUCUUUAUGUAUUUAGGUGCUCCUAUAUUAGGUUCAUAUAUGUUGACAAGUGUCAUAUCCUCUUCUUAUAUUGAUACUUUUAUCAUUAUGUAAUGCCCUUCUUUGUAUUUUGUUAUAGCCUUGGUUUUAAUGUCUAUUUUGUCUAAUAUGAGUAUUGCUACUCCAGUUUUAUUGUGAUUUCUAUUUGCAAGAAAUGUCUUUUUCCAUCCUCUCACUUUGUCUGCGUUUAUCUUUAGUUCUGAAAGGAGUAUCAUGUAAGCAGUAUAUAGAGGGGUCUUGAUUUUUUAAUCCAUUCAGUCUUCUGAUAGGAGCAUUUAGUUCAUUGACAUUUAAAGAUUGAUAGGUAUGUACUUAUGGCCAUUUUUUUUUGACCUGUUUUCUGGUUGUUUUUGUAGCCAUUCUUCCUCUUUUAGUGUCUUCUCUUGUGGUUUGAUGUUUUCCGUAGUGAGAUGUUUCUUUCUCUUUAGUUUUUGUACAGUUUAAAAUGUUUGAUUACUGUGGGUUUCAUCUAUGUUGAUGUGUAACUAUAUCUACUUGUCUCAAAUUGGUCAUCAUUUAAGUUUAAACACGUUCUAAAAGAUCUAAUUUCUUUACUCCCCUCCCCCACAUUUUGUGUUUAUUUUGUCAUAUUUUGCAUUUUCAUGUUUAGCCAUUCACUGUUUAUUAUAGUUAUAGUUCAUUUGACAAUUUUUUGAUUUUUUAUCUUCGUAUUAGUUUAAGUGGUUGAUCCACAACCUUUACUAGUGGGAUUUUUUCUUUCAUGUUUGUAGUUUUGUUUUGUUUUUUUUCCCACUAAGAGCAAACUGUUUAAUGUUUUUGUUAGAGGAGGGUUAGUAUUAAUGCACUCUUUAGUUUUUGCUUGUCUAAGUUCUUUAUCUCUCUUUCAAUUCUGAAUGAUUACCCUGCUGGGUAGAGUUUCCUAGGUUGUGGGUUUUUCAGACCUUUUAGCACCUUAAAUAUAUCAUGUAAUUCCCUUCUGACCUGCAAAGUUUCUGCAGAGAAAUUAGCUGAUAGCUUUAUCAAACUUCCCUUGUAUAUGAUUCUUUGUUUUUCUCUUGCUGCAAUUAGGCUUAUUUCUUUAUCUUUUGCUGUUUUAAUUAUGAUAUGUCUUUUUAUGGGUCUUUUUGGGUUCAUCUUAUUUUGGACCCUCUGUGUUUCCUGUACCUGGAUAACUAUUCCCUUUUUCAGGUUUGGGGAAUUUUCAGCCAUAAUUUCAACAAAUACUUUUCAACUGCCUUUUCUCUCUCUUCCUGUUUUGAGACACCUAUAAUAAGAAUGUUGGUAUGUGUGAUGUUGUCGGGGGGGGGUCCCUUAAACUUUUCUCAUUAAAAAAAAUUUUUUUCUCUUUUCUGUUCUGAUUGAAUGAUUUCCAUCAUUCUAUGUUCCAGAUCACAUAUGCAUUCUUUUUUUUUUAUUUUUUAGUCUGCUAUUAAUUCCCUCUAGUGUGUUUUUCAUUUGUUUCUGUAUUCUUCAGUUCUGACCAUUUUUUAAAAAUUUUCUAGUACCCCAUUGAAAUUCAUACUGUGUUCCUCUAUUCUUUUCCCUAGUUCACUUAGCACUUUUAUUACUAAUGCUUUGAAUUCAUUAUCUGGUAAAUUAUUCAUUUCUGUUUCACUAAUUUUUUUCAGGGGUUUUGUCUUGUUCUUUCACUUGAAAUUUUUUUGUGUGUUUUCUCAUUUUUGCUUAACUUUCUCUGUUUCUAUUAAAUUAGGCAAAACAAUUGGGUAUCCAAGUCUUGAAUGGGUGUCCUUUUUGGGAACAUCCCUAUACAGUCUGUGUGUUCCCAGAGGGAAAAUGGAUCUGACAUGAGCACAGGUCACAUCUUCUCCCAGGAUGUGCUGGCAGCUAUCACCUUGGUGGGAGGUGGGGCUGGAGAGGGAAAUAUUAGAGCCAGAGCCAGGUGUGAUCCAGGGCUUCCUCUCUUCUCAGGGGCCAACACCAUCCUAUUGGUGGCAGGGGAAGGUCCCACAUUGCUGGUACAGAAAGUCCUAAGUGUUGGGUCUGAUAUGGCUCCAUUCAUUCUAAGUGUGUUCUCUCCUCCUCCAAGCACUGGCAUCCUCACCCCAGAGAGGAGCAGUGCUAGAGCAAAAGAAGCUGGACUGGGCACUUGGAAUGAGUCAGAGAGUGGGUUGUGGUAGUCCUGGCACCAGUCAGAGUUAUCUGCUGCCUUUGUAGGCACCAGCAAUACCUCCUGCAUCUGGAUCAGAGUUACUGCAGGGUCCAAGCAAGCUUUGUCCCUCACAACUGUUUACUGCUCUUUGCUGUGGCAGCCAUUGUCCCAGUGUGGAGCUGUACCACAGAGCAACUGAGGCCAGAGAAAGCACUUUGUUUAGACUGGGGCCUCUGCUGGAGUGGUCAUGGUAAACCAGCCAGAGUCCUGGGCAGCUUCAGUCUGCUUCCUUUGCAUUGUUUCAGGAGUAUGCAAACCUGUGCACUCUUCAUGAGCAGAGUCCAGGUUUCUUACAGACCCAGUGUCUGUCUUGCUGGUUUUCAAACCAGCUAACUCAUCCUCCUGGUGUUGGACCCCAGGCCUGGACACCCUAUUGCGGAUUGAAUUACUUCCUCCCCAGCAAGCAUCUCUGGGCCUAGGAAUUCUCCUCUUCUUCUGUGUCCUCUCCCAAGGGUGCAGGUCCCAACCUGGUCACUUCUUUUCCCUUCCUACCCAUUUCUCUGUGCAUCUUUCACACAACCUUGGUUGUGUAAGAGUCUUUCUGUCCAUCUCCAGUUUGUUUUCAGUGAGAAUAGAUCCACAUAUAGAUACAUUUUUGAUGUGUUCAUGGGGGAGAUAAGGUCUGCAUCCUCUUACUCUGCCAUCUUAAUCUCCCUCAAAAAUGAGAGGUAUAUUUUCUUUCAUAAUGAAAACUUUAGCAGUAGUAGGAGUUCCCUGGUGCUGCAGUGGGUUAAGGAUCUGGUGCUGGCAUUGCUGUGGCUCUGGUUAUGGCUGUAGUACAGGUUUGAUCCCUGACCCCGGAACUUCUGCACACCAUGGGCAUGGCCAAAUAUAUAUAUUUAAAUGAAGUCUAGCACUAAGACACAUAUUUCAAGGUUGGUUGAUUUGUGGCCCAACGAAGUUAUCAGGCACCUUAAUAGUUUGCAUUUUUCUGCUCUGCUGCUUCAGCACUAACAUCAGCCUAAGUGUGGUGAUUCAUCUUGACCUAAGUUUGUUGGUAACCUCAUCAGACCAGUAGCAACUGUGUGACAUGCUGCGUUGUUUAGAGCUAUAAGGUGAAAAAGACUGUCUGGUUUUAUACAAAAGUACCAGGUAAACUUCUGGCAGCUUGCUGUUUAAAUCUGGCCUAGUCCUGACCAUUCUUGAGCCAAUAGCUGAAGAUGUAUAGGGAUGGAUUACCAAAACUGUCUUGGAUGGAUCAUCUGGGGCAGAGGAGUUUGGGAGAGCCAACCAGAAUGCCCUUUUCUCUGAGCUGAGUACUCCCAAUGUAGGUCUUUUGGUCACCUUGGCACUUAGGUUUGUAUUAAUUCUACUGAGAUUUCCUCUACCUUGACAAAGAAUCUGUUUUAUUCCCCAAUAGCUUAGGAAUCUUAAUUCCUUUUAUCUUUCUACUAAUAAACCCAUUGCCAGGUCUGAAACAACAGUCAGUUUUAUGCAACUCACCAUCAUACUCAGACCCCUUCCAUUGGGGGAAUGUGGUUCCAUCAUAAGAGGAGGGGCCAUGGGGGUUGAGACAAGUUCAUCUUCAUCGUCUGAACUUUUAUAGAGUGCCAAAGGUACAGAUGAAUAGAAGUUGAGACAGUUAACAUUGAGUGUCUACCAAUUACAAGCUUAAAGAGCCAGAAGACCAAAGGAAAGCUGUGUUUCUCCAUGUGAGGUCUACAGACGGCUGCAUCAGAGCCACCGUCCCACUUAGACCUCUAAUAUCCUGGUUUUAUUUCAUAUCCUCACUCUCAUUUUCUUUUUGUUCCAAUUUAUACUUGACUUUUACUGAUGCAUUUUAAGUAUUUAAUAAAGUCACUUUAAGUCUUUUGUUGAAUGCUGAUGGAGUAUGAAUAUAGAAAAUAAUUGUCUAGGAAAUUAAUGUAGUUGGAUGUUAGCUGUGUUCAUCUUGUCCCUUAAGAUCUAGAUGAACUUGGAGUUCCCUAGUGGCCUAGCAGUUAAACAUCUGAUGUUGUCACUGCUGUGGCUUGGGUUACUGCUGUGGCAUGAAUUUGAUCCCUGACCUGGGAAUUUCCAUAUGUGAUAGUUGUGACCAAAAAAAGAAAUCUAAAUCAUCUUGAUUCCUAUCCUCUUGACCCAUCCCAUGCGAAGCCUUCUUGAUUUCUUCUUAAGUACUUUGCCUAGAAAUCUGCUUAACCAGAUCAUUGAGUUGCUUAGGUGUAUUUUCAAUUUUUCCAUGUUACUGCAUGUGAGAGUUUUAUGAAAAGUUUCCACUACUGCAUAACAAGGGUCUCCUGUCCUCCAGCUUUGACUCAUGGUUUUCUCACUUUCUUGUAAGCCCCACUGAUAGUUCCUUGGGACCUUUAGCCUUUUGUCCACUGCUUGUUCCCAAGCCAGUGCCAUAUGAGUUAUGUUUUUAUUACAAAAGCAUCUCCCUGUAAAAUCUAUUCUGGUUGAACUCUUGUGAAACAAACUACCCCAAAAUGCAGUGAUUUAAAACAGGCAAAAAAUCAUUUCCCUUACUCUUUCAUCUGCAGGUUCAGCAGCGCUCAGUAGGCUGUCCUUUGCUCUAUGUGGCAUCACUGGCGUGGCUGGUCUGGGGCUGGAGGAUCAUCAUCCAAUAUGGCUCCAAAUCUACCUCCAAUAUGGUACAUGCCAUGCCUGGCUGGCUGGGGCUGGCCGGCAUCUCAAGGCCGGUGCUUGGAAAUCAGCACAGCAUCAAUACUGCUAUAUUCCAUUUAGUCAAGCAGUUACAGACCGCAGAUUCAAGGAAAGGGGGGAUAGAUCUCCCCCGUCUCUGUGGGAGGAACAUCAAAGAAUUUUGGGGCAUGUUUGAAGUGCCACACUACCUUGAAAAGACUGCCUUUUUUAAACUUUAUUUAUUAAUUUAGCUCCUGUCUCUGACCCCAGUGUCUUGGAGGUUUCUUUAUGUCCUCCACUUUAUAAUUCAGAACAUUGUACUUUAUAAAUCUGCAUUUACAAUUCAGAGUUCCCUUCAGUCUUGUAUCCAAAUGCUUAGGGUCUAACUUACCCAGUCAAGGUCACUAACAUGCCUGACUAACCUUGGGCCUGAGAUGCAGGGGGUUCCUGUUUUUCUCUUUCCCUUCCCACAUCAAUCUCUGCAAGAAGAAGAGGCAGAUAUGGAGGGUUACUUCCUUCCAAUGUAAAUUAUAUCAUUGUACCAAGAAGCAACUUUGGUUGAUUUUGGUCAGUGGACUUUUCUGCCCUCUUUCCUUUGCAUAAAUACAGACCCUUGUCUUCCAUGGCCCCUUGGAGCUGGCCCCAUUCCUCCUCCCUGGGCUGCUCCAUCCCUGGUCCUCCAGGCAUAAGUGCUUCUCCUUAAUCUGCUGCCACCAUAAUCCCUUGCAAGUGGAGAAGCUUCUUGGAGAUUGAGAAAGGAGACCCAAAAUAUUUGUGGUUUCAUUUUCAAUGGUCUCAAAUAUGGGCACUUCUCUUUGUCCCUCUCUAGGUGGUGAGUCAGUUCACUUUCCGUUCUGAGUUCUGGAAGCCCCAUGGGAAUCCCCAGUCAUGGUCUAGUGGAGCUCAGAUGUUCUACCCAGGGGGGGUCCCACCUGCUAAGGGGUAACGAACCCAGCUAGUAUCCAUGAAGAUGUGGGUUCAAUCCCUGGCCUCGCUCAGUGGCUUAAGGAUCCAGCAUUGCUGUGAACUAUGGUGUAGUUUGCAGAUGCAGCUUGGAUCUGGUGUUGCUGUGGCUGUGGUGUAGGAUAGGAGCUGAGGCUCUGAUUCAAACCCUAGUCUAGGAACUUUCAUAUGCUGUGGGUACAGCCCUGAAAAGACAAAGAAAAGGAAAGGAAAGGAAAGAAAAGAAAAAUUAGUGGAGAUCCUGUUGUGGCUCAGUGGUUAAAGAAUCUGACUAGCAUCCAUGAGGAUGAAGGUUUGAUCCUUGGCCUUGCUCAGCGAGUUAAGGAUCCGGCAUUGCCGUGAGCUGUGGUGUAGGUCAUAGAUGUGGCUUGGAUCCUGCAUUGCUGUGGCUAUGGUGUAGGCCGGCAGCUACAACUCUGAUUCGACCCCUAGCCUAGGAACCU